CAGCAAGAAAGUUUGAGGUCCCCACAGUUUCUGCGCACAUCAGGGCGACAAACGUGGACACUGUCUGGUUCACCUUUCAACUCCAAGGCCUACUCUGGGACUUCCAGGACGGGGUUUCACCAUGUUGGUCAGGCUGGUCUUGAACUCACAACCUCCGGUGAUCCGCCCACCUUGGUCUCCAAAGUGCUUGGAUUACCAUGCCCGGCCGAUUCAUGACUCCAUUGGCUUCACACAGGUCCAGCAUGAGAAGAGCAGAAUUAAUUGUGUUGUUCCAGAGGAGCAUUCUUCAAAGCCAUCUGCUAUCAGCUGGGAGUGAGGAUUUCAGAGUCGAUCAAGGUUUCUGCCAAUGGUUGACUUAACUCAUCUGGAAUAAAAUGUGCAUAAAUGCUGGAUAAAUUUUAAAA
rnacentral:lncRNA from 13 species